GCAAGAGUUUCCUAGGCAAGCCUACAGCCACUCAGAACAAGAUGUUUUCCACAAUGUCUAUACUGAGGACAAGCAUCCAAUAUACAAGUCUCACUAAACCAUGACAAAUUUAAGCAUUUGCAACAAAGGACUGAAAAUGAAAACGACAAGACUACAAAGACAUAGAGCCUCACCUGCCACCAACUACAACACAGAGAAUGUAGGCUGGAAUCUCAACCACUCCAAGGAGAAAUAAAUUAAUGAACUGAUCACCAUGAAGUACUGGUGUACUUAGAGAGAUUCCAAAAUAACUUAAACUACUCACAAAA